UACGGAGGAUCCAAGCGUUAUCCGGAUUUAUUGGGUUUAAAGGGUGCGUAGGCGGAGUAGUAAGUCAGUGGUGAAAGCCUGCAGCUUAACUGUAGAAUUGCCAUUGAUACUGCUAAUCUUGAGUACAUAUGAAGUGGGCGGAAUGUGUCAUGUAGCGGUGAAAUGCUUAGAUAUGACACAGAACACCGAUUGCGAAGGCAGCUCACUGAACUGUAACUGACGCUGAGGCACGAAAGCAUGGGGAGCAAACAGG
rnacentral:rRNA from 1 species